rnacentral:rRNA from 1 species
GGCGAACGGGUGAGUAACACGUGAGUAACCUGCCCUUGACUUUGGGAUAACUUCAGGAAACUGGGGCUAAUACCGGAUAGGAGCUCCUGCUGCAUGGUGGGGCUUGGAAAGUUUCGGCGGUUGGGGAUGGACUCGCGGCUUAUCAGCUUGUUGGUGGGGUAGUGGCUUACCAAGGCUUUGACGGGUAGCCGGCCUGAGAGGGUGACCGGCCACAUUGGGACUGAGAUACGGCCCAG